GUUUGAAGAUCAUUGUAUUAAUGAUUUGGUAUUUGGUUUGUAAGCUUUUAGAACAUCUUUUUUGUUUAAUGAUAAUUAUAACUUGUCCGAUAAAUAUGUUUAAAAUUGUUGACUUAAAUAGGCUAGUAUUUUGCCCUAUGGCAGAAGGUUAAGUCAGGUUGAAUUACGUUCGAAAUGGUGGAAGACGAAAUUGGGUCAAGUCAUGUUCGAAGUGGCGUAAGGCUGGUUGCGCCGAGUCGCAAUCGAGACUCAUAAACAUUGUGUUUGUAUGUUUUAAGUAAAUUGAUUGUGUAUUUAAUUCUAAUAAUUCGAGCUUUUGAAAUUAAUAGUUGACGCCAAUGAUCCGGCAAAAACAAUCCUCACUCAUCACAUUUUUUUACUAUUUUUAAUUGAAAAUUUUAUAAUUUUAUGGUAGAUUAAGUAGAUGUAUAUAUACCUAGCGAAAUGAGACGCAUUGGUUGAAAUGUUUGUUUUACGAGAUAUUCAACGCUUAGGCUUUGUUUAGAAUUGUAGGGAGAUUGCAUUACGUGAGGUAAGAAAGUACGUUGAAAAAAUAUUCUGUUUAUUUUCGUACAUAAUAUUGCGUUUCGCAUAUCGCGAUGAGUCGGUUACGAUAUAUUUUCUGCGGUCCCACCGGAGAACGCAGAAACAUAUUCUUAUAUGUUUUUUUCUCAACUCUAUUUUAUCUAAUAGUGUUUGAUAGGUCUCAAUACCAAACUAAGUCUUAAGAAUGCUAGAACAAUUUAGCUUGUAUUUCUGCUCAAUAUUUACAAAAGAUGAUUUACUAAUCGAUUAAGAUGCACGUAAAAAUCCUGCAAUAAUUUGUUUCGUAUAAAAAUUUUUUUUUAC
rnacentral:lncRNA from 1 species